rnacentral:lncRNA from 1 species
GUCCAUUUUCCUUGGCAGACUCCAGCCCUUGGGUCCAUAUUACCCUAGAUUGGUGCUGAUGGCCACAACUCAGGAGUGAGGCAAGCUGCUGGGAUCCAGAAUGUUGGCUGGAACUACGACCAGUCUGCUGUGGUGGCCACUCUCCACUUAUCAGAGGUAAUCUCUCUAGCGGCCCAUUGGGGACCUUGUCCUGAGCACUCAGCACCCACCCUUUACAAGAAUUCUCUUUUAUUCUAGGCCACAGAAAACAAUGUAGCCUGGCAGAGAUUUCUUCCCUCUGGGCCUAUUGCUCUGCUCCCGGUAAGAGAUCCUCUGGCCAGUUAGCUCAAAGGUGGCUUGCCUGCCUUAGUCUUAAGAACUUUCCUUUCUGUUAGCCUGGUUUACUGGGCUCUGCUCCCA